rnacentral:rRNA from 1 species
GAUAACCCCCGGAAACUGGGGAUAAUACCGGAUAACGCAUAUGUGCUGGAAUGCUUUAUGCGUAAAACGGAUUCGUCCGCCCAAGGAUGGGUCUGCGGCCUAUCAGGUAGUAGUGGGUGUAAUGUACCUACUAGCCAACAACGGGUACGGGUUGUGAGAGCAAGAGCCCGGAGAUGGAUUCUGAGACAUGAAUCCAGGCCCUACGGGGCGCAGCAGGCGCGAAAACUUUACAAUGCGGGAAACCGUGAUAAGGGAACACCGAGUGCCAGCAUCAUAUGCUGGCUGUCCAGAUGUGUAAAGUACAUCUGUUAGCAAGGGCCGGGCAAGACCGGUGCCAGCCGCCGCGGUAACACCGGCGGCCCGAGUGGUGACCGUUAUUAUUGGGUCUAAAGGGUCCGUAGCCGGUUUGGUCAGUCCUCCGGGAAAUCUGAUAGCUUAACUGUUAGGCUUUCGGGGGAUACUGCCAGGCUUGGAACCGGGAGAGGUAAGAGGUACUACAGGGGUAGGAGUGAAAUCUUGUAAUCCCUGUGAGACCACCUGUGGCGAAGGCGUCUUACCAGAACGGGUUCGACGGUGAGGGACGAAAGCUGGGGGCACGAACCGGAUUAGAUACCCGGGUAGUCCCAGCCGUAAACUAUGCUCGCUAGGUGUCAUGCAUGGCGCGACCGUGUCUGGUGCCGCAGGAAGCCGUGAAGCGAGCCACCUGGGAAAUACGGCCGCAAGGCUGAAACUUAAAGGAAUUGGCGGGGGAGCACACAACGGGUGGAGCCUGCGGUUUAUUGGACUCAACGCCGGACAACUCACCGGGGACGACAGCAAAUGUAGGCCAGGCUGAAGACCUUGCCUGAAUCGCUGAGAGAGGUGCAU